AAGAAGACGAUGAGAAACUUUCGCCCUCUCCCUCUUCAACAAGAAGAUGAUAAACGAGAAAACUCCACAGAUAUCCCCCGAUGUUUGCCGUCCAUGUUGCGUCUCUUUCAACCUCAACAAGAAGAACAAACACAACCUGUUGCCAUGCAGGACCGGGAGAGCUUCCUCCCGGGAAAAGCCGGACUACACGCAGACUUUAGAGGCGAUAACGGGAGCAAGGGUGACACCGUGCGAUGGCUUUCACAAAGCGGUGUAUACAAGAUGCCGUUCAAUGUUGAGUAAAUACCAUAAGACCGUGUACGAGAUGGGCAGGAUCACAGCUUUUAUCCGUAAGAGAGCAGCAAGGCUGUCGGACUCCAAGGCAUCUCCAUGUAUCACUUCUCCAAUGGUGCGUCUCUUCUGGCUACUUGGAAUCAAAAUAAGUGUUUCUUAUUGUGUUUUGUGAUGCUCAAAGGGUGUGAUCUAGGAUUUGCUAUGAUUACAUAUACCCUCAAAUCUCCUCCAUGGUUAUCAAAUGCUUAUGUUGGAUGAAUAUGUUAAUUGUUGGAAAGCAGAAGAAGAGAUGGCUUCUUCACUGCAGGGUUGGCUGCACGGAAGUUGGAUUGAAUUGGUGAUCCUCUUGUGUGUCCCGAAGAUACUUGAUGUGUCCUUGUGUUGACAAUAAGUCAUGGUGAGAGCCUAGUUGAAUGAUGCUGGACCCGGUGAAUGGCGCAGUCUUGCUUGUUGCUGUCCUUCUACAGGGAUGGACGAGGAUGGCAGCGAAAAGCUCAGAGUCCCCUAUUACUCCCCUCUGAUUCUGAACGUUGAUACUUUGAUUUCAACAACUCGCUCCAAACUUGCAGUCCGAAUCGGACUGACCAAGGACGACUUUUAUCCCUGGCAAUCAUCUCUAUUGCGAUGAAGAGACUUUCAAAACUGAAAUCAACUAAAGUUGACUUCUGCAACAAAGUCAAAGUCACUGAUAUCUUUGUCCAAACGAAAUGGACGCUGUUUAGUGAGUAUGAAUAGUGGAAGUGCUGGAACACCCACCUGUAGCCGUCAUUUCACACCUGCCGACCUCGACAAGUCUCCUACAGGCAGUGUCUGUCUGAAACCUGGAUCCGUCCCGCUUUAAGGUUUCCCCAAAACUAAUACCCAAGACUGCCAAACCACCAGGCUCAGCAGAAGAUGCAGCCGGGAGAAUUCAAGAUCUUAGAUUAAGUAGUGACUAGAGACGCAGCCUGUCAGACAGAGAGCUCGGGGGCUCUGCAAACCGAGGAGAACCGGAAUCCUUCAAAGAGAACCGAGGCGUUCCAAGUGAAGGUGCCAGAACACGGUGUGCACCGCAUAAGAGACGAGCUGGACGUUGUCUGUUCGAAACCCGCAGAGACAGCGGCACUACGACACUGAAUCCUAUGAUGGAUCUCCCCCACGCCUCCCCCUUCCAGACGAUGUCACAGACUGGCACGCCAACAGCAAGAGCCUGUGAUCUAGAGGGGAGCUACACAUCACAGAUAGCCCUUCAUCUCAGCAGGCGGACGGCAGGGCCUGGGUGAGGGUGACCGUGAAGGAUGAAGGCGAGGAAGAAGAUAUCCCCUGGGUGAGGGGACGCCGAGAGGAAAGCGAGGAGCAGGAGGACCGAAAGCGCCCAGUUAGCUCCGCCGCUGCUGGCCCCCCAUCCAACGUUAGCGCUCUCUCGGAAACGCCCUCUCCUCGGCCUCGGGAAGAAGGAUGUACAGGAAGAGACGGGGACGACCGUGAAUGAUGAGGAGACGCUUUUCACUGGCCAGACUCUGGCGCCCCCUAGUGCUCUGUGUGUGAACCGCAUGUAGAGGUGGCGCAGGGAUACGGAGAGGAGGCAGAUGACAUGUUCCAGUGGCGGUCGGACUGCGGAGGAGGCGGCAUCUUUGUUCCGUCUCCACGGUAACAACGAUUCCACGACGGCUCUGACAUCAUCCGGUUCUAACCGAGGCGGGAGAAUAGCGUCGAAGUAGGGUAAACAAACUUUUGGAUCACAAUUUUCCCACUGAACCUCAGACUAUUCACAAAUCUGUUGACUUUUAAUUUGUACACACAAGACUGGAAAGGCUGGCUGUCACCUAUGACACAUUCUCUGAUUCGACGGGUUCUCCGUCAAUCACCUCUGGAACGUGAACCAAGUGGAAUGUGUUAUUGGUUGAUCGUUGAGUGGAUAUUUCAUCUGUCAACCGUUCGGCCCAAACUCUCGACUGAGCUGCAAUGCCAGACAAUAAUAAUACUGUCACUCAAAAUGAGGGUCUAUCUGUCGGAUGUCUGUUUAAUGGACUUGGGGAUUUGGGACCAAACUUGUCAGAACUCAACAAUGCACACACACACGCACACACACACUAAAGCAUCUGUGAGCACACAUAUUAACAAUUUCUGAAGUCAUAAAUACCGUUGAUAACAAUGUUUAUCACAUUGAUAGGGUUCUGUUCAACAUGGUCGUUGACAUAGUGUUACAUUGUAACUCCAAUGUAACGUCUUAUUGAUUUAUUAGAGUUGUGCUAUACAGAAAAGGCCACAAGGUGGCAGUAUGUGCGAAAGUCGGAGAGCAGCGCUCUGAAUUUCCAAGUAAACAAUUAAUUUAAUUGAAACAUCAAUUUGUGUUUUUGAUAAGGCUCGUUUACCGCAUUGCAAUCGGAAUAUAUACUGCUAAAGUAUAUGGGUUUAAUGUAAAAAAAAAAGUCUCACUCAAUUAACUUUGUCAUAAACAUUUUUAUGUUUCCCCAAUCUCGGAGAUGAGUAACAAAAAUACAGUUGUUCAAUAAUGUUCAUUUACAUAUUCAUGAGCAUGUACAAGUGAGAGCAGUCGAACAAAAAGUGCUUUUUUUUUUUUAAACAAGGAAUCAUCUUUGAAUAAUCACGUCAUCAUUGGUAAACCAACUAAAAAGAAAAAAGGUUAAUCUGAAUGGAAAAUGGAGAACAAUCCGUCCAGAUAAAAAAGUUGAGUCUCAGACGAGAGGAAUCAAACACAUUUCCGUUAGUGGAUCGUAAAAAAAAAUUGUGUGAAAAAUAAUCAUCAACUGCUGUGUUUUUGUGAUCCCCAGAUGGCGAGCUGAAUACCUCAGACAGUCAAUAAGUCAAAACAGGUCUUAAAUCUAUUACAUUUUGCACAACGCUUUGUAUGGCACGAGAGCCAUCCUCUGCUGAAACAUUUCCUUGUAGGGCGAAGUCUGGGCCAGUACAACACUAGAUGAGGUCGCCGUAUAUCCACGUUGGACAAGAUGAAACCCCCCUCCGACUCAUAUUAAACACAAUUUCACGAGGGGAGAACUAUUAGGUAAACCUAAUAAAUAAAACUAAUAUUUCCAGAAUCAACGUAAUCUCACACGCACGCACACAAUCACUGUGCAGACAUGACUGGGAGCCCCUAACCUAUGUUUUGUUAUAUUUGAUGGUGCAUAACAAGAAUGGUUCCAAUAUCGUUUUGUUGCCUCCAUGGCUUUUUAAUUAAUCUUUUUGCUCAUGUGAAAGAACACGCUGAACCAAAAGGAAAUCCAAUUAGUACACAAAGAGCAGUCACUGUGCUCAUUUACGUGUUCAUCGUCUCCCCGCCUGCCAACAGGUUUUAGAGGCUGGGGGGGGGGAAGCAGGUUAAGAGGGUAGAGGUCAUGCCAGGGUAUAGAAUCUAAAUCAAAGCAAUGUACACAGAAGCCUUUAUAUAGCCUUUAUAUCGGGACCUUAAGCCCCAGUGGGCGUUGUAUGGUUGCCAGUCAUUGUUUGACCCCGCCCACCUGGCGCGACUAGAGCUAUGAAAGAAGGUCAAGUUAAUUGAAGCAGGAUUUUGAGGAGCGGGGGGGGGGGGGUUACCUUGAAUUCUUUAAAGACCUGGCUAGGGGUCCCAGAACGGAUUAACCAACUCAUGAGGGUCAGUGGAGAGAGGAAAUUAAAAGUCGUGGGAGAAUUCAAACUAUUGGAUGGACGCGUGAAGAAAUUGAGUGGCAACAAAAUGCCGCCCCCUCAUGUCAAACUAACAAACGUUUAGUAGCCCUAAUGCUUAAAUAACAUUCGUUUAAGAAAGAAAAUGACUAUUGGAAAUGUCUUUCUCAGAGCGACCUCAACAGUAGAUUGUCUGUUUAUCUUUGGAACAAGGUUAGGUCAGCUUAAGAAACCCUGACUAAAUCAACCCUGUCCUCCGUCAAGCUUUACUCGAGUGUCAUGGCCGUUUAAACCUUUCAUUAAAUAGACAAACAAGAACGCUAAGAAAAGGAGAAGAUAGAGUUGCGUGUGUAUGUGUGUGCGUGCGUCUGUAAGCUGACCCAACAGUGAUGUCUGUCUCUAAAUAAAUGCAUGAGGGCUGGCA